rnacentral:lncRNA from 1 species
UUGUUUGCUUGUUCCGUAGGCACCGGCUUGUUAUCGAAACUCACUUCUGGCUUUACCCAACGAAACUGCUUGUUGAAACAGAACUGCUUACUGCUAUUACCCCACCUAGCGGCGAUAGGAUUGAGCUCUUGGUAUAUAUGCAUUUAAUAAAUAAAGAGUUUCAAGAUUGAUAUUCAUAAUAAGGAGUGAUAGGAUUGAGCUCUUGGUAUAUAUGCACUUCUAAAGAAUAAAGAGUGAUAGGGAUGCUAUAUCAAAGAGUAAUGAAUUUAGGGAUGCUAUAUCAAAGAGUAAUGAAUUCAAUAAGCCCGCGGUUUAGUAAUAAGCUAACGCACCCAAACAAAUAAGCUUGUAACGUCUUGCAUAACUCACUAACGCUUACUGCUCUUCGGGCUCUAAAUAGACUAUUUCCGUUUAGAUUUCUUAUGAUAUCCCUAGCAGCUUUGCUUCCUUGUUUAACAAAGGCUUGUUCCGGCCCGGCGAACUGAACUCGUUUGUUGAUUAUGAAUUGAGUGUACCUAGGAAAUACGCACAGUAACACACAUUCGAAACUCCUAAACGGAAUGAUUGCCCUAGUAUACCAUAGUACUUAUCUUAGCACCGUUGCUUGUUGAAUGGAGUGCACCUACUCAGAGGUCUAUGUUAUGUUCUAAUUUCGUUUUACCUAGGAAGAGGUCUAUGUUAUGUUAUGUUAUUAGGCUUCAAUGCUUGUGGGGUCCGGGUCAAAGUGGGUGUUUUUAUGGAAAGGUUUUUCACAGGCUAUAAACAACGCAAAAAGAGCUUAUUUAUACAGCCUUAACCAAUACCGAGUUUCUUGUUGAAGAUAGUGCACACAACUUAUGUAAGACAGCAACCUCACUGCUUACUCCUGGCGUUGUUACCUUACAUUAAUCAAAUCAUCGUUUACAGCCGAACCCUAUACUAAGCACUUGCAGGCCCUAUACACAGAAGCACCGUUACUCUACUUAACUACUAAACAAACAGGCUCUUAGCACCUUGCUUUCAAUCUACCUUCAAGCUUGUUCCCGCAGCUUACUCACUUGCUUGUGUAAUUUAUUAACAAAACAAAACACUGGCCAAGAAACUAGAUGAGAGAGAAUCCAUUCUUUUAGGAGAGUCUGGAGCGAGUGGUUCAAUUCCUUAUUCUUGUUCAAUGUCUUUACGAUGAGAUUCCAAAAUGUCUGUGUUUGUUGGCGGUGAAGAAAGUCUUUAUUGUGUUCAGGGACAGAAGAAAGUACUAGUGCGCGAGCUAUGUUAGGUGACUUUCCAACUUGAACAGAACUACUUGCGGAGGCAGACGUUGGGAUUGGCGCUAGGAAAAAGAAUGGAAAGGAUGCUUUCGUGCUAGAAGGAGAGGAUAGGAAAGGAAAGGAAGGGCGCUAAGAAAGUCAGUACUCUUGUAGAUGCCGAUCAAUCUUAUUAUGCCAUGCCGGAAAGAGAGAAAGAAGCUUUGGGUUGGGGCGCGCUGGGCAAGCAAUACCUUUCUAUGGGUUAGGUGCGCGAGCAGUGUUUUCUUUUUCUGACUUUCCUUCCACCCCCCACCAAAACGGAAGUCUACAGUCUCGUAUCUCGCUGUUCCCCUACUAUAGGGCUCGAAGUCAAGUUCAAGUCUUCGGGAACGAGUAAGAGUGGUUUAAGUUCCAGUCUUAUAGUUAACAGUAGUUGCUCGUCUUUUGGUCCUGUGUUCAGCUACCUAAUUUAUAAUCUAUCGCGGUCAACUCCGUAAGCAGUGAAGUCUUUUCAUUUACUUUAGCUUGUUAACUUGUUCUCGCCUUAGUUAGUCUUCAGACGCCUUGUAAACCAGUCAAAUCCUACAUGGAACUUCAAGCUCCCUAAUAAGCGCCUUGUAAACUAGGUGUAAUAAAUCAAUAAUGGAAUGUUUACACCAUAGAAUCUCUUUUCUCUACUGGCCACGUAGCAGUAAUCAGAAUCAAAGGCUCAAAAAGAUGCAGUAUCCAGAGAAUCCGCAGUGCAAUGAGAGUAGAGUGAGGAAGGUUAACAAACAAGCUUAUGCGCUAACAGGAAUGUCACGGGAGUUUCAAUUGUCAUCUUAUAUGCUUGACGGAACCAGCAUUUGUCCUGCCUGAAGUACAUACAAGUUCCGUUCGCCCAGUUCGUUCGACUCUCAGGUCUAUGUUUAGGGAGUUAGUACGUUGCUUUUUGAGUGUAGUUACUGAAUCUCAUUCUUAUUGAAUAACUCCAUUUGGAAAGAAGAUUAUGACAGUACUGUACACAUUAUGUAUCAAAGUAACAACACUCCGAAAUGAAAGAUUCCACACAAGGGAUUCAACAGCAACUGUUCCUGCUCCCACUCCAGAGAAAGCUUCCGCGCUAAGAUCUCCUGGUCGACUCGGUGCUAACAGAGUUUCUGCUUAGGGAGCUCAAUCCCCUUUUGUUGAAUUCAAUGAUGACUUUCGAGGUUAGGAGUAUAUAGAAGAAACAGUCUCUGGGGUGAGUCACAAAUCUCUUACUCAGUUUCCAGAUCAGAAUAAGGAUCAUCUGGGCAGCAAUCUUUUCUUCAAGUCUAGUUUGAGCAAAGGUCUGUGAUGGAGGUGAGAGUGCUUGUGUCUAAGGCGGUUCUUGACCUUGCUUGUAUAUGAGAAUGUCCCGUUCCAGUUUCAUCUAUAAGAGGAUUUCCUCUGUUCCGUUAGCGCAACAUUAUACCAUUAUACUACUAAGUAAGCUUGUUCGGUAAGAAAGCGUAGAGAGAAGCUCGUUGAGCGUAGAAAUCGGUAAUCAUAGAAAAGAGAGGUUAAGCUGUGAAAAAGUAAGCUUAUGAAUUGCUAGUUCCAGUUCUUGUUUCAGAAUCAGAAUAAGUUCGAUAAGAUGCUACAUCAGGGAGAGGGUUAAUAAUAAGUACUGGCGAGGAAGAAGUUGAAACAGAAUCCACAGUGCUAAAGUAGAGUGAAAGGUAAACAAGCUAUGUAUUUACAAACACGCUGAUCAUUGGCUUUUCAUCGUACGUAUUAAGAAGCUGAGCUGGUCAUUAUUGAAUCAGAGGCUUAGCUCCCGAUGAUGAAGAUAGGUAAUAGCAAAUAGAGACUUUUGUUCGGAUGGAAGGAGACUCGUAUCUACUCGGUGUAGUCAACUAAUUCCAUUAGAUUCUUCUGUCCAUCCUUUUGUAGGGGAAGAACCCUUUUCGCCUAGGGGACUCCUUUUUGGCCUAUGAUAAACCAUUUCAUCUUGUAUAACUAUUGAUAGCUUGUAUAACUGCAUGCGGAAGGUAAGGCUAAGCACGCAAAGCAAAGGGAAGGGAAAGCCUAGCCAACUGAAUCAUGCACCUACUUACACUUGAUGUUCAGCUGACCCCUUAACUUAACUGACGCGGAUACGAAAACAGUACUUAUUCUGUGUCCUUAGCUGGCGAAAUUAGCACUCCCUUAUGGGAUUACUUUACUACUUUACGAGCUUCUAUAUACCCUGUCCCCUUCUCUUUAGCACUUGUUCUUGUUGGGCCUUGUCAAACAAUCAUUUAUUACUGCAUGAAUAUAAGAGAGGCAUUGAAAAGACGACUCCCUUCCCGUGAGCUCACUGAUGCACCCUCUCCUUACGCACUUCGAGCAGUGAGAUGACUUUACUUCAGCAGUAUAGCAUUCAAUUCUUCUUCCAGUAUAGAGUCUGAAGCGUAAGCCGGAGAAGAAUCCUUUCUGGUUUCCUAUGUGUCAGCAGCAAUAGAUUCUCAAAGGAGAGUUCUUGUUUCACUGACUUAAUAUAGAAUAAGUGGGUAUCCAAAGGGAUAGAUAGCUUUAAGAUCCAGAAGUGGGUAUCAAAAGAGAUAGGUAGCUUUAAGAUCCAAGUCGUCAACAUCUUGUCCCGCCUUGUACUGAGUUAGAGUUCCUUUUCUUUACGCGUAAGCCAUUAGCAUAGUCACACCUCUGCUCAACUUAGAGAAAUCCCUUAUCUCUAACGCGUUACCAGACACAAGACAGGUCAUAACUACUUCUAAAGAAAAGACUGGUCAUAACUACUUCUAAAGAAAAUCAAUAUUACUCCCGUGACUCGUUGGGUUUAGAGCCUGAACCUGGAUUAUUGCCUUCUUCAGCGCACAGUAUCGGUAUCUCCUAGCUUUCUUUUGGAGAGUAUUGUUUGUCUCCUUGGGUGGGAGGUGAAGUAUCUAAUUACCUGGAACCGGAAGGUGAGGAGAAGAAGAUAGUACUGCUGGCAAGGAAUGGUUCCGAUGUAGCUCAGACAAAGUCAAAGUAGUAGAGUAGAGUUCUAUAAGAGAGGUCCACAAGAUCAUCUACAGGAUCAUCAAAGUCUCUCGGUGUUGUGGGGGAGUCUAGAACAACUUAUGAUAGUCAUAAUAUUCCUCAACAUCAGUCCAUACACCUUUCCUAACAAUAUUGCCCGGCGCGCAGGGGAACAAUAAAAUAAGUUGUUCUUUUCUUUGAAGCUGUAGUUUGUUGGGCCAGUGCUCUGUAAACUAUAAUAAUAAGCUAGUCAAAAACUCAUCAAUAUAAGUUAGUUAAUUAGGAACCGAACCUCACCGCGGACUUUUCGCUUUAAGAAAGCCCCACUUCGUGUUAGGAGUUCGCAGUUCCGUUGCUUAGUCUUUUGCCAAUACAAAAUGCAAUUGAUAAUCAUCUGCACCUCUAACUAAUAUAUUAUAGAAUGGAGUCAAAACACUCCUGUCCUUAAAGCUGACUCCCCCAAAGCUGACAUUAGCUGUUGCUUAGUCUUACUAGUUACUAGCUCUUGCUCUGUUGCUUGUUUCACCUUUUUUAGGGAAUACCAUAUAUACCCACCCGGUGGUAAAUAAUGGAUUGUGAAUGGCUCACGGUAAAUGCAUGAUUUUGAAAGGCGAAAAGAAGUAAGAAAUCCAGAAUAGGAGUAGAGACUAUCCUUUAUUACAUAAGGGGGGAGCUUCUCGACGGAAAAGGGCCAAAGCGAAUAGGAUUGAACCCCUAAGGAUAGAAAGUCAUAUCGGAAUGCUUAAAGCGAUAGAGUCGUGAACUGAGUUACUAGUGGGCUGGGCAAGAGAAGCAAUAUCGGAAUGCUUAAAGCGAUAGAGUCGUGAACUGAGUUACUAGUGGGCAAGAGGCUUGCUCAUUUCUCCUUUGUUUUGGGUUUGCCUAUCUAGCUUCUUGUCCUACGCACUAUGAUUUUCAAAAGAAGGGCUAAACGGGGCGGAGAGAGAAAGCCCUCAAAAACGAUCUUUCAUAUUCCCCCAGAGAUCCUAGUAGAAAUACAAUCCUAUAAAGAAGUGGGUUUGUUUCAGGCUUAGAAAGCGGAAGCCUAUUGUGGGGUCUAUGGCGGUCUACUACUUAGUCUAGUCUAAGUUUCCCAUUCUUUUCUAUUAAAUGACAUUCGAUAUUGCCCACGUGAAAGCUAGGAACUAGAACCACCUCCAACGUUAGUGUUCUACCAUACCGCAUAAAGGUGAACAAUUUGUCUAUCAAAAGAAAGUGACGAUUAUCUGCAUGUCUAAUGUAAUAAAGAGUGUUAUUGGUCAUUUUAUCCCAGUGUAAUAGAAUUCGAAAAAGGCAUUUAUUACUUGUGUUGAGUGAUAUGGUGACACUGUCCUCUCCUUGCGUGGAUUCCAUUCCUUGAGAUCUAAUCCAGCUAUUCGAUAUAAAAAUGGGAAUCUUCCUUUGGAUAUACAAAAGGGAAUCUUCUGAUAAGUGAGUAUAAGUGAUCGAGAAGCAUUGGUGAAAUGAAUCAAUCGACUCUCCCUACUUAGAUACAUGUAAGAUCGAAAGGGCAGCUCAUGAAUAGAAGGAAGAUCACAUAGAAUGCUAGUGUUGAGGAAGAGACGGAUGUUAGCUCUCCUGGUAUUACUUAACUAAAGCACUAACACCAAUAACAGAAGCACUAACAAAGGUAAAGUUCUCUUCUUUCUGGUGCUUUCUUAGACUCAAAACCAUCGACCCUAAAGUCUCGUUAUCGUUGUAAGUGAAGGGAGUUCUCUUAGCAAGCUAGUGAUUUUCCCCUUCCUUCGUUAGGGCUUACACUCUUCUCUUUUUCAGCUUACAACGAUUGGUUAAUUAGGAUAGGGGUGGAAAUCAUUGAAGUCGAGUCGAAUAGUAGGGCGCCAAGCAGACUAGUAGGCAAGUAGACAAGCAGACAAGACACUCAAAGACAACUUCCAAAAUCCACUCAAUAUAACGACCAAGCAUCCACUUAGAAUCUUUAUCCUAUAGAAAUAGAAGAUCAAGAAUGAGACAAGCAACGACAAGUACUGUGUUCGGGAGAAGAAUUCUGGUAUCAAAUGUAAGAGUCAGAAGAACACCGGAAGGUAUCAAACGUUUGAAUCACACCGGAAGGUAUCAAACUUAAGAGUCAGAAGAACACCUGAACUACUAUAUCUGCUGAGCAUCAAACCUUAACUACUAUCUCUCCAGAACAGGAGCAGGAGCAGUACUACCGGUAGCAAGAGGUGUUAUCGACCCCAACUAACUAUCCUUUUUGAACCCCUCGUUGCUUGGCCCGCACUCCCACAAUAACUCCACUCUUUGGAUCACAUAAAGGUUCAGGCUUCCAAAAAUCACCCUUAUUUCGAAUACUUAGCGGGCUGUAAACUAUUCUUUUUAGUCGUUGAGCUGAGGCUAAACCACGCUAAUGGCUAAUUCCCUCUCUUGUCCACCGAAAUGCUAAACUAAUGCCUUUGCUUGCUUAAUAAGACUUGCCUCUUGAAAACCCUCUAACGCUUACUUUCUUCCUCCCCAAACUAUACUUGAAGUUUGAUUAACCGACAACACUACUGUAAACCAGUCUUUUAAACGACUCCUGCCAGCGCCCAAAGAGUUUAGUAUGCACGACACUUCAAUUGACUACUUUGAUCUUUAAAGCCACCUAUCUCCUCCACUUGAAGCCAUUAGAAUGUUGCUUGAUGCAGCCUCACGCUAGACUCUACCUGUACUUUACAUAUUGUCCGGCGCGAGAGAGUAAGUUGUAGCACUUUGGCUUUGACGAACUCAACUCAACAAGCAAUAGAAUCAACUCACUAGUCAAAGGGGCUAGGGAACAAACAUACAAGCAAGAAACAAGCGCGCUAGCGAGUUCCAAGCGUUAGUCCGGCUCCGCUUUCACUCUCCCGCUCCUUACUCUUAGUCUUGAGUGCCCUCCCGCUUUUGAAACCUAUCUAUCUUUGCUUGCGUUCCGUAGCUCCUGAUCCAGAUUCUUUGCUAUCAACCUCAAACUCAUUACUGUUAUACCUUAACUAAUGCCUUAGAUCCUGUCCUUGCUGCCUACGAGCCUACCUCUAAACCAGUACCGCUGCUUUCAUUCUCUUACCAUUCUUUAGUUACUGACUUUUCUUCUGACUUGUUUGUUUGAGCCUGUCACUCUUAAACUACCAGCUCUGGGCCUGCCUCCCCCUUAUCUAAUUAUGGUUUUAGUCCAAACUAUACUUUAUGGAAUUCUGUAUUGAUAGCUUUAGUCUGCUACUCCUCUUUCUAUUAGUCUGCUUUUCCUUCUUUUUGGAUUCUGUAGUUACCGAUCUGCUUUGCUUCUUAGACUUAGGCGACCUCUGCCUUUCUUUGAUUCCAACUUUACUGGGUUCUUCAAUUGCCGAUUCUAUUUGCUUAUAUUCAUUAUGAAAUUGCUUAUUGCCUUUCGAACAUAGGAAUAAGAACAAGAAAUAGGGGUUAGGCUUAGGAUCUAGGCAAGGAUAGCUAGUAUUGGAUGAUAACUCCAUUACAGAACUACUAGCUUUGAUUAUUACUACAACGACUAUUAGGCUAAAGGCAUUAGUGCCGUAGUAAAAGCAAGACUCAAUGUAGGUAGCGGGAGACUCCACCUAUAAGUAAAAGAUCUAGAUCCGGGGGGAGUAGCUACAGACUCAAAAGCAGCAGUUGGGUUCUUUAGUUGACCUCGUCCGCAGGGGUUGGUUUAUUUAUAUCAGAAUAAAGUCUUAGAAGCACUAGUGGUAGUUUUCCUCGGAUAGGUAAUGCAAGUCAAGAGUAAAGCCCUAGAAGCUGUAGCGGGAUUCUUUAAUGAGUAAAUAAAGAGACUUUAUAAGCAUUUAUAGAAUUCAAGUAAACAGUACGUCCUCUAUUGCCAAUAAGAGGAAUGAAUGCUAAGGGAGGCUAUAAUACAUGAAAGUCAUACUUUUAGGCGGGAAAGGCAUACUCGAACAUUGGUAUUGAGACCGGGAUGGGAAUACUCAAACUCGGCAUUGAAGGUAAGGUAGGUAGGGCAGGCUUAGAAGCUGUAUCGGCAGCCCUAGUUGUACAAUCAAAGACAGGGGAUAGAAGCUCGUGGGCUGUAAUGCAAUCCUUUAUAUGGGGUUUUUCGUAUUGGAGGUAGUAGUUGCUGCCUUAUCCGUAGGAGUUCCAGCCUUGUAAGCCUCCGGGUCAGUGUAUUAUGCCCACAUUCCAAAUUCUGAGAGGCAGGGUUUAGCGGUGGUUUCGUUCUUGUACACUGGCGUUUGAUCCCAAUUAGGCCCUAUCUCAGUUAAGCUUGAGUACUUGUUUACUUGUCUCUCAUAUCCUAUAGCAACUUCUCUUUAUUCGAUUAAUAAACUAGAGACUUUCUAUUAAUAAACAAGAGACUUUAUCUUUAUUCUAUCAGUGGGUGCACUAGACCAUGCCAUACCUAUUACAUUGGCUCCAAACUGGAAUACCUAUUCUCAUUCUAUUGACUAGCGCUUUACAUACCUAGGCGAUUGACUCUAACUCUCAUUAUGAUUUGUCAUAUCAAACAUAUAUCUUUAAUUGCGACACUCAAACUAUUCCCUUACUGACCCAAGGAAUAUUCCCUAACUGUUGAUUCCAUUCUUGAACUUAUAGAUUGGAUUCCAUGUUUUUGUACUCAAUUCUUCUACUGUGGAGUUUGAUUCCACUGAUGACGUUUCGGUCCAGUAGGGUACCAAGUCAAUCUUACUUAAUGGAUAGGAUUCGCCUACUAGGGACAAAAGCCUUAAUAACAGCGGUUCCAUUCUUUUACGCCCGGGUUCGAUCCCCAGUUUUGAGUGUGAGUUUGGUUCAGUGUCUCAAUUCUGUAGUUUGUGUGAAGAGGUGAAGCCAGUAGCUGAUGAGUUCAAUCCUGUUGUUUCGGCUUUGGCUCUUGCUUUCCUAUUUCAUCCAAUAGAUCAUGUCAUAGACCUACUCGAGCUUCUAAUGCAUUUUCUGCCUAUCCAAUAGUUAUGCCAAUAGGCAGUUAGAGACAAGUCCAAAUACAAGGUUUCAAGCAAGGGAGGUUAUCCUUAAAAGAAAAGAAGUGGAGCAAGCCUUGAGCUGUAGGUAAGGUUCUAGUUCAGUAGGGGAAGUUCUCAGGUAAGUAGCGGAGUCCUAAAAGUAAGGAUAUAAUACCAACCUCAAGAAUGGAAGGCAGGAUCGAUUAUUGUUAUCCGCAGUUAGAGUUUCCGUUUUUACUAUAGUCGUCCAACCUAUUAGCAUAGUAUAUAAGCUUGAAACCAAUAGGCAAGGCUUAGAGACAGGAAGAGCGGACUCGGAGAAUAGAUAGUAAGGCUUAGCUAACGGAGAGGCGAGCUAACAAACAAGACUCUAGGGGGUAAGUCAAAGAAUGAAAAACUCACAAGCAAUACUUUAAGGCAGGAAAGGCAUACUACCAAAAAUCCAAUAAAGAGGUCAAGUCAAGGGGGACAGCCUUGGGAGCGCUCGUUCCAUUCUAUUUAGUCUAAGGGAUCGGACUUUUCUGAAAGAGAGGUAGCCUUAGAGACGGGGAAGGCAUAGCGCAAGGUAUGAGUUACAGACCAAUAGAAGGUAAAGACAGACUCGUAGACAAGAAGGUCGGGCUUUGACUUGAAAGUUCAUUCCGUACAUCCUGUUUUUGUCUUUGACUCCUUAUUCCUAGGUGUGAGUUAAGGUCCUGUUCCAUCAUAUAUAGUAGUCAAUCCUAUAUUAUAAGAUAUAGUAUUGGAACCACUAGCUUAAGCCUGAUGGUAACAGUAGUCGGAAGCUAGCAAGCAAGGAUACAAAUAAGCAGUUCAGAGUGAAAACAAGUCAAGUCAGACUUCUAAUAAGGAAAGGUAGCUUUGAAGUAAGUAGCAGCAGCCUCAUCAGUAGUACGAAGGAUGAAAAGCACGAGUUAUAGUUUGAACCUUGUAGUGGAACUAAUUAACAUACUCCUGUUGGUAACUACACUCAUUGUCCAACAAGCUACCCCCUUAGAGUCAAGGGGGGCAGGCUACGAAGUUCAAUACAGAUUGGAGAUCGGGAGCUACAGGCCAAUAGGGAAACAAGGGUUUUAAGUCAGUAAGGACAGGCUCGGGUUAGAGCAUAAGUCUUUGUGAUAUAAGUCUUUGUCGUGUAUUGGGUUCAUUCCCUCCAUAGCGUCGAUUUGAUUCUACUAGUUGGUAUUUGGAGUCUGCUUGUCUGUAGCCCUAUAUUGUAGGUUCGAGCCGUUAGUCAGUGGGUUUAUUCUAUACUAUAAGUAAAAGGAGUGAAAGGCAUGGGUGAAAGAAUGAGAAACUCUAUUUGAAGAGCGAAAGCCAAAAAGUAGAGGUUUUCGUUUAGGGUGAGAGUAUUGUUUUCACUUGUUCUAUAUGUUAGGGUGCCUCUUCUCUUCCUUUUUUUGAUAGUAUAGGGUUAGGUUCCAUAAUGCUAUUUGAUAUUUAAGGUGCCUAUGGCUAUAGGUCAAUCGAGUAAACAAGAAGGUUGAGACCUGUUUCUCUAUUAGAUAUAUAGGUAGGUAGUAGAUAUAAGUACUAAUGUGUUGGGGACGAUUGCAAAGUCAAUAAGAUGGUUUCUUGAGAGUAGGUGUGCAGGGAUCGAAUAUAGUGGAUGUUGGGUCCGAUUGGUAUAGUUUAGGGUUUAGGCGCCGAUAUGCUCUUAUGUGGAUGAGUCAAGUCCGGUACAGGAUGCCGGUCAAUAAUACUGCUGAUAUAUGGGGUGCCUCAACAAUUCUUCUAAAGAGUCGUUUUCGUUUCUAAAGAGUAGUGGUUGUUUUGUUCGGUGUUUGCAUUAAACAGCUAUUGACUCUUCACUUCAAGUUGGAUUGAUUUCAGAAUGGAGUAGAUAUCCCCAUCCUCCUAAUCAAUUAAUAUACUCAUAGGCUCUCUACGUUUGUCUUUCCUACGAGUAGCUCCGUUCCGUUUCUUUCAUAGAAUAGACAUAACGACCUAGGGGCAGUAAAGCAAGCCUUCUUUGUUCGUGCUAGGCUCGCACUACUGGGAACCUAUUAAGAAUUCAUAAAGAAGCGCAAAACCUCUAUCCUCGUCAGGGCAUGCAUUGAGUAUUAACAGGGCGAAGGGAUAUUGACGGGACUUACCUUUCAAACAGGCAUAUCUAAACUGACCUUUCAAACAAGGCGUAUCUAAUCAGUAUAGUAUCAUGGGAGAGUAGAGUGGUAGGGUCGGAACUGAGAGAAAGCUAUAUUUUGCAAUUGAUCGUUACCAAUAGCAACUUGAACUAAGUCCUCUGGUGAAUGAUCGAUGUGUGCCAGAUUGAAACCACCUUCUUUAUCAUUGGAAGAAGACCGCUUCGUAAAGCUAGGGCUGGAUACCUGAAUUGGAUCUUGAAUGCCCCGGUUAGGGCGCCUUGUGCGUGUGCUCUUAAUCGUUGGGCCUAGCUUAGCUCCAUUACUCAUUCUAGCUCUAGCCUCAUUGGGGAACAGGUCUGGCAAAAGGAGAAAGAACUAAGGCACACCCCAAACCGAAAUGCUCCUUACUUAUCUUAUAUUAUAGUUAUAGUAUGAUGUACGAUCAUAAGUUCCCAGAUUUCUCAUAAUAGGAAAGGAAGGGCUUUGGACUAUUAUGGUUUGAGAUUGAACUUCUCAUUCAAUGGGGAUCCAACUAAACCCCCAGGAAGGGAAGUGCCAAAGAAGAGGACUUCACCUAUCCUCCACCAAAGGCUAUAGGAGAAGGUACCUACCUUUUACUGAGGAUCCAAUUUCUUCUCGCUAACGCCCUUGUUGCCAUGCCCUCUAUCUCUCUCUUUGCUUUGGAUCGAGAAGGGUUGGCUCUGCCUCAGAUCUAUUCAGCUUCGACCAGACGACUACCGCUAAGUGAUGAAGUUUGUUUAGUGCGGAAUCUGGCAUACAGUUACCAAUCAAGUAGAAGUCAAUAGGCUCACUCAUAAAGCCCCCCGCUAGUAAGACAAGAAAACGCUUCGCUUGGUUGUCAUGUCAGGGCACUCUGGUAGGACGUGGCGUGGAGAAUUACCUGCAUUACGAGAAUGGGCUUCUCUUUUAAUGUAAUAGAAGAGUCACGGUCAAGUGAGCCCGGCUUUCUCCCUAAUCGACCUUACUCAGGGGAGUUGCAUUCAGUUAGGUAUAGGCUUUUUGACCUUGUGUUCUAUACUGGUAAGAGGCUAAUACUGGCAAAGAGUUAAGCAUUAACGUGUUUUGGGGUAUUAAUAGAAAAGAAGGCGCCCAACAAGGAGUAUGGACUUGGAUGCUUGCUGGGGAGAUCUAGAGAGAGUUCUAUAUCAACAUAGAAAUCCAAAGUAGUUCUCAGUUCUAUAUCAAAUAGAAGUUAUAAGUUCAAUAUCCAAUUAUUAUAAGUGUAAAUAUCAAAUUAAGGAAGAGUACGCACGGCUGACGCUGUUAGUUGAUCGAAUCAGAUACAGAUAGCUCUGGCUACCCCAAUUCUGAUCCACAUGAGGUAUGGCUCUGAGCGGAGUGGCUGAAGGCAUAGGUUUGCGAAAUCGACAUCAAAUAAGAUUGUAUAAUGGAUCCCUACGGAGGCGGGCGAAAUAACAUGAAAGAACAAACCUAUUCUUGGUAGAGUUCCCUGAGGACGUACAUAAGAGCACUAACCACUUUUGAGUGAAACUAGAAGCUUGUGCGCUUUAUUUGAUUGACCGGCCUGCCCAUCUUAUUUAUAGUAGCAUACCCCUAAGUAUCAUUUGUAUAGGAACGAAAGCAACACUUUGACUUUUGAAAGUAAUGGGCUACGCUUAUCCCUGACUAGUCAAGUAGUGGUAAGGUAGGUGCUGGUGCUGUGCUCUUCGAUGAAGAAAAUCUACAAUAUAUUAUAUACAAAUACAAAUAUACAAAUACUACAGAAAAUAUACAUACAUAUUAAUAGGUGAUUCAAUAGGUGAUUAAGGUAUCUAAACCAGAGCAGAGCAAAGUAUUCUCCGUUUUCUUGUGUCAGUGGUUAGAAAUCGAAAUUAGUGAACACGUCGCCUACUUUCUUUAAAAGGAAGCAAUUCUUCUUACCUAUAACCAAUAAGCCUUAUUACCUCUGUUUGUAAAAAUGGGGUUAUGGUUAUAGAAACCAUAGACUUAUCCAUUUGUAGAUGAACCUCCUUGUCGUAUUUAUUACCUCCUUGUCGUAUUUAUUACCUCGCCCGAAAAUCAUUGAAAAAUAUAGGCAUCCGGAAUACCGCUUAUCGACUGAAUCGCAUAUGGGCAAAUCGACGAGGAAUCACAGUAAAGCGCCCUAGUACCAUCACUCCCUUGCCGGAACAUUAGAAGACCAGUAAGACGUGGGUCCGCUCCUAAUCUUGAAUGGCCUCAUCAAUGACUGAAACACAGUAAUGAGUCACCUACUCUUUAUUUAGACAAGAAAGACGGCGGACAUUGAUGGCUCUAAGUCGGAUGGCCCCACUGGAGAGUGAGCGAAACGAAAAAGCAGUGCACACGCAAAAAACAUCAUUAUGGGCUUGCUUUACCUACCCUUUACUCAUCAUUCCGUUUUGGAAUCUACAAAGAUGAUGAAAUGAUUGGAUUAUUUCCGUCUUCUUGCUUGCUCUGUCUGAUACUAUGUAUGUGAAACCAGAAGAUAGUAGUUCCCCUGCGACGACAGGAAUCUCGUCCCUUCUACUCUUUGUUUAUGGUCCCCCAAAAGCAAAAGGAAAGAUUCUUCAUGAAAAUAGAAACCACCUAUGAGACGAUCCCUAGUCUAUUUCAUACAUUAUGCCUAGGUCAAAGGUAUGCCUGCUUUCUUUCUACCUAUGGGUCAAAGGUAUGCCUGCUUUCUACUUUCCACCUAGUUAAAUUCGAAGAGAGUCUAUCCACCCUAAGAUCAGAAAAGAGCCUAUUUCUCUUUUGUUUGAUUUAUGAGAAUCAGAGACAGGGUUCGAAUUCCUGUUGAGAAUGAAAUCAUGAAACUAAAUGAGAAACCUCUGAAAAAGACUUGUUUGUAUGGAGCUUGCAUACUCCCUGCGCGCGAUCGUAUACUUGAACCCUCGCUUUUGUUGGUGGUUCAGCGAUAGAUGGUAGUUUGCCUUAAUGAUGGAUAGCCUUGCCAAGGAUUCGAUUUCUUUAUCUUUUCAAAUAGAGAAGAGAUCGCAUUACGAUAGGACUGACUGCUGGCUUAGUAGUUCUUUCCCCGGGUACCAUGACAGUGCGAGCACCUUUUCCGAAAACCCAUUUAAGGAAGGGCAGGAUAGAGCAGUUUUCGGACUCAAAGUGUAUAUGGAUAGAACCUUGUCCAGAUUUCCUACUUUACAUCUCUGCAAAGAGAAAUCAAUUCAAUAAAAACAUGACCCAUAGCUACGAAAUGAAUCCAAUUAGGUCCCUUAAGAGAGAACUCAAUCUCAUGCAUCGAUGUAUUCCUUCUAGAACUAUAGUCGCCUGUCUUUUGAGUUCAGGGAGAUGGGCAUGUCUUCUUCGAAAAGGAGGUCGUGGUCAACGAUCAAAAGUGGCUUUGACUACACGAAUGGGAUAAGCAAGAAGAAUGGAAUGCUGUAAUACUGUCUUCUUUGGUUCUAAGAAAGAUAUUCAAAGACUCUCUACCCUACCGCCUGCCGACGAUGGACCUCAAUCACCAUCAUAGUAGGGCAAAGCUUGUAAACAAACACAGAUUUAGACCUUUCCUUUAGUGGAGAACCUAUUGAUGGAGACAUCGCAACAAUCAUCUUACAUUCAAUCUCAGAGAUGAUAGUGCGGACUUAUGAUGGGCAAAAGACUAAGAUCUAGAAAUAAUGAUAGGGCCGGGCCGCACCCUCUCGCCUUUUAGUUACUUUUACCGAAAUACGAGACUGACUCCUAAAUUCAGUCGUUCCUCACUAAAUAUAAGAUUUUGGAAAGAGUCAAACAGUCCCGUCCCUUUGGACUCGAAUUAGUUGUAUAUCAAAUGAGAUUGUAUAGACCCGCCAGCAAUCCAAAUUCUAUCUCAAUAUUAGCGCAAUGGUUCUUAUCCAUGGUUUGGCCAGAGCCCCACCUUUGUCUUUCUUGUUUGGGUGAGGAAAAAGCGGAUACAUAAGCAUCAGGCGAUAGUCAAAAGAGAAGGUUGUCUUUCACAGGACAUUCCAUUCAGUUAUCUAUAGCGGUGCCUAGCUUAUUUGUUGGAUAAUGCUUCUUCCUGCUUGAAAGCCCUUCAUGACUAGGUAGAGGGGAUUAAUCUAAAUAGAAACAAAUAUCAAUCUGGGAACGAUAGGAUCAAUCAAUGCAAUUGAAUUGAGGCGAGUGAAGCUAUAGGAAGGCAGUAGCAGACCAGACCCGAUUGGGAGGGAGUCUUUGCGUACGAUAGGUGGUAUAGGGUUUUUGGAAUGGAGUUCAAACGGAAAUGGCUCGAUUGAUUUGCUUACAGGAAAAAGACUAGUUUCAGAAAUCCAAUAAUUGGAACAAAUUGAGUGACAACGCAACGGACACCUUUCUUUCUCACUCAAAAGCUCAUCGUUUACCAACGAGUAUUGAGAGUAUAUACUCUUACAAAGACAGACCUGUGAUCCACUUUCGAUCUAAAGCACCCGAAUUCUACUCGCUUAUUUUAUUACUUUGAUAUGCGUUCAAUAUUCGAUUUUAUGGAAUGGAAUUAAGCUUCACUGCUCCUAUCCAUGCUUUCGAAUUCCUUUAUUACCGACCCAUCCUGGCUAUUUCUCCUAUUUGAGAUAUAACCCAUCCUGGCUAUUUCUCCUAUUUUAGAUAUAAUUAGAAUAAUGUCUUUGUUAACUUAUUAGUAUAGUCCACUCUUACCUUAGAUCAAAGAAAGUCAGACUGAGUAUUUUUCUAUACGAGACGUCGAUAAAUCCUUUGUAUAUGAAAUUAUUGUGAAUGGAAAGCGCAUACAUCGAGUAAAGAAAGACGGAAGAAUGGGGGAAAAUAGAGUACCACUACUGACUAAAGGAUUAUGAAACUCAAGAAAAAGAACCCUAAAAACAAGGGGGAACUGUCAUAAUUCAUACAAGUAACUAGCUAACGCCUGAGAUAGAGACCCCGUCUGUGACUCGUGAGAUAGACCACCCCGUCUGUGACUCGACUUCUUUUAGUAGUGUGCUCCAACUUACCCUUAUACUUCGCUCGGUUCGGUGCUUAGAAAACUCCAAUAACAUACCAAUAACAUCAAGGGUAAGCGUUAGCUUACCUUUUCUCUUCUCUUAGGGAGCGCUAGGGCAAUAAGCUAUGUUGUUUAGGUCACUUUCAUAUAUUAAUAAUGAGUGAAGUUAGUAAUUGUCGUUAAGAUUCAUUUCUUUCAAGUUGAGUGCACCUUUUGCCUAUAUGAGUGAUUAAAGGAAAAAUACAGGAGUUAUGAAAAUCAAGAGAAGAGUAUAGUAUGCUCCGCUCCGUUUUAGAAGCAGAAUAAGCGUGAUCGCGGACAGGAGAAGGGGUUAACUGACUCUGUGACUAUAACCUUAUUGAAUGGAAUCGAAACUUGUCGAGCUUCACUUGCUACCGAGAUACCAGCUAUAUACUUGCUACCGAGAUACCAGCUAUAGCUAUAUAGUCGUGGAAUUCAGAAGUUUGGAGGACGAGUAGGGUCGGUCAAAUAGGAAUUCAAUAUCAAUCAGUCAACCUGCAAUUAAGGGCAUAUCAUGAAUUCCAGAAUAUAUAUGGCAUAUCAUGGAAUAUAGUAACAAAACACUAUAAACUCACUUACUCUGUAGUUUCCAAUCCUUUUUUUCCCUGACAUAACACAUAUGUUCUAAUUGCAUAACUGGACUGUUUACUCCAACCAAUAAGCGUUAGAGCACCCCAAGAUAGAGAAUGAUAGAUUAGUUAGCGAGCGGCGAACUCACAUUGCGCUUACGGAGCACUUGUUCAUUCUAUUGUUUGUUCUUUUCUUCUGAGACUUAUGUCAGUUAUUAGAGUUUGGGCCAGUAUGUAAAGUUCACCUUUCAUUUCAUCUAUCUAGCCAUAUGAUCUUGAAUAGCUAAUCCAUCUUGUGCAUCAUCUCUAGCCUAUAAGGGAGUAAGAUGACCUCUUUAUAUACUCAAUGAGAAGCAUUCGCCAACCACUAAUUAGCUCCUAGCGCACACAACAAAAAGAAUGAACUAACGACCACAUGAUACGAAAACGUCACUCAUGUUUGUAACUAAUGCAGAUUCUAUCGUCGCAAAGACAGAUCAGAUGAAACUCCACCUUUCCCGCUUGCUGCUUCUGAUCUUGAUUCUGAUCCUGUAGUAGUUAAGGAUACGGCUGCCAAUAACAUAUUAUUCCCUUAAUAAAGCAGCAGGGGGCAGAAGCUUCUUUUUCUUCGUAGGGGUUUACAGACACAGCCGAUUCCCUAAUUGCCCCAUGCUAUACUCAAUGAGACUCUAUUCUUUCUACUGUUCCUUUUCCUUUAUACCUAACAGCCAGCUUAUUAGAUACAGACAGCACUGCCAGCUUAUUAUCGGCUUCAACUGAAAGUCAUUAUUAAGCUUCUUCCCAUUUCUGUAGGAUCAAAGUCGACAACACAAGAUUCAAGUCGCUAACUCUUUUCGGCAGUUUAGAAUUCCAUGAAACAAUUCCAUUCUUUAUCGGGGAAAUAACCAACAAUGAAAUUAUGUAUUUGGAGGCACCGGAUAUAGGCAUGAGUAAAGACACUGAACGCACAGGGACAAGCACUUCUGGACCAAUACUGGAAUCUGGAACUACACUUUCCACUGCUUCUUCAAAUGGUGUUGGAGUGGAGUAUAUCAAUUAGUAAUAUGAAAAGGAUCUAUACCCAGGCUCGCUAACAGAGCUGUUUCUUCUCAAGUCGACAACACUAAUUGACUUUGCGCUUACAGCUUCCUUUAGUACUGCUUAUUCUCCCCCACUCUUGCUUCUGCCUUUGUCCUAACCCUAUUUGGAUAGUGAAAUAAGGGUUCUUUGAUAGUGAAAGUAAGCGUUCAGCUGCCUCUGCUCUAUAUGAGUAGGUGUGUGACCUCUGUUCUAUAUGAGUAUAGUGUAUCAAACUCGUCAACUUCAUAGCUUACACUGCUUAAAGAAAUGAAUCUGUAACUUAGAAGGGGAACUCACACAUCAAUCUCUGACUCUCGGAUCCAGCUGGGUUAGUCCGAUAAUUUGUGUCGAACCUUGCUUGGGCUGGCUUGGCUCUAAGAAGAAGAUAUAGUAGAUGAAAGAGGCUCCACGCUAUAACAGUGAAAAGAUUUAGCAGGUUAAGAACUUCAAGUUUAGAAUAGGUCGGCUCAAAGGCAAGUAAGGGAUCCACCAACCAAGGUAAGAAGCAUAAGCUAGAUAAGAUUAUGUAUAAAGUGGAGUUUACUUUAGAUAAUGUCAGAAUUUCCGUUUAUAGCUUAGUCUAUAAUUCAGUGACAGGGAGUACAUUCCUUCCCUACCCGGAGACAUAGUCCGCAAGUGGUUUAAGUGCUUGUGUCUAAGGCUUCUUUAAGUAGAGUUCUAGACUAAAGUAGAGUAGAGUUCCAGUUCUCAAGUAGUCUACGAGAGAAUCAGCAAUUACUGGCUUUGAAGAAGAAGCUUUAUCAAAAUCAGAAGCAGUUUCAAGAGAAGUAGCAGAAUAUCUUACUGGCUACGCAGGGUGUUGGGCAUCAUAUCUUACUGACUUUUCAAGUUGAAGCUAGGUGUGGUCCACGUCGUCGAUUGAAGCACGGUGACACUGAAUACGAGUUAUUAAGUUCCAGAAGAGAGAGACGCCGCUCCACUCUUUUUGGUAGUGUUCCAUCCUUGUUAGCAGUGGUUUCCUUCUUUGUUUGACCUUAGACUCCUUUCUUCGAUUCUGACUUUGGAGCUUACGGACUGACGCUACACUCUUUUGGUUUGAUUCUUUGUUUCUACCUUGAUUCUUAUACCUAUGAGCUCGAUUCUACGCCUAUGGGAAAAGAAAGGCUAUCCGCCAGCACUCGCCCAUUAUGGGACUGUUGAGUUGGACUCCCUAUGGUUGGACUACCCUUUUGUAUUCCUAUUAGUCUCAUGCGCUAGUAGCUCGGACCCGACCCUUAUUCUUAUCCCCAUGGUCGAAAGACGGCAAUUGAAUAAGUAGAGGCGAGAAGUCAGCCUAAAAGCGAGGGCUGCUUUAGAUGCCUGAGAUUCCAUAAUAUAAGUUGGAAGGGAAAGUCAGUAAGUUACAGUUCCAAAGUUCUCCUGUUCCUGUUCGAGUUAUAGUGUUUUCUUAUAAGGAAUACAGUAACCAAGGAGAUAUAAAGGAAGUAGGUAACACCAAAGUGAGUUGAACCAAUUCCAAAUUCUAAAGAGAAUCACCAAAACUCGAGAAACCGAAUUCAUGCCUUGUUUUUUGUUUGUUGCUAUACACUUAACACUAAGCAACUCCACGCCAAAAAGGUCUCGAUCAAGGGCCUUCCGCCUUCUCGUGCCACAGCUCUAAUCCGAAUGGCUUCAACUAUGAACGCAAUUUCCAGUUCGAGCAAGAGCCGUUUGUUUUUCGAGAAAAUCCAGAAACUAGAAAACGGAUCGUCGUUAAGUCCGGCUUGCAGAACCGUCUUUCGGAUAACUAUAAGUGUGAGUCGGUUAGCUCCUUUUUCUGUUGCUGUAGUUGGUCGAUAAACACUCCUAUAUUUCGUAAUGAAAGACUUAAUUCAGUGAGCUUGGUACCGCCUGUUCAAGGGGUUGGAGGAGAUCAAACCCAAGAGAGGCCCGAGCACAACGUCUUCAUGAGUUAAGUGUUCCCACCUUGGGAGCUGAGAGUCAGGCCUGCAUUAGUGGAAUAUCCUUUACAGCCUUCCUUUAUCCGACCAGACAACUAUUCUAGUUCCACUUUUGAUACCGGGCAGAGCAGCUAAAGUGGCUUCAGCCUCUUUCUUUUGGCAGUUGCUUGCGAAGAAUUUGGGUAUUACUUAUCCUAGCUCAGAUAGAGCACUUGAGAGAGAAUUCGAAUAGUAGGGUUUGGAUCGUAAGCACAAUGGACUCGCUGCCUUAUCUGUCAUAUAGGAAUAUCGAUAGCGAGCAGUACCCAUCGGUUGCAGCUAUAAUCGUUUGCAGCUAGUACCCAUCGUUUGCAGCUAUAAGUAUAGAGCUCGUUCUUUUCUUACUUACCCGACGGUCGGAACUUUCAAAGGAUUCUCCCCAUCUAAAGAGCACUUCGUUCCUAAUAAAUGCAGACGGAAAGGUAGGACGGACCAGUGGAAGACUUAUGUCGAGAAGAACGUAGUGGCUUGUUGGCACAGAUGCCUUAAUUGAUCUUGUUGGCACAGAUGCCUUAAUGGAGAAUUGCAUCCAUCCAAUUAUGCACUUAAGAGAUUGACAGUCCUCCGCUCAGGCAAAGAAAAAACCGAAUCUUAUUAUACUUAUAUUGGAUCCAAAUUGAGAAUAGAACCUAAAGGUUGGUGGAUCAUGGUUCUACUAAGCGCCCUUCACCCCUGGUCCUUCUCAUAUGUCUUAUACUGGAAUGGCAUUUUUCUUAGGGUAAGUUCUUUGUCAAUAAAUUGGAUGCCCUAAGACGUAAUCAAGCCUUGCCUUUUCUUUUUGUUCUCGAUCUCUUCUCUUUAGAACUUAUAAAUAGCACGUAAGCAUGACAAAGGAUGGGAGCGGUGAUUGACCAGAAACAUUCUGUAAAAACAGAAAAGAGUAUCUUGCUGGAAUGGAUUUCAAAGAGCAAUCGUAAGGCCCACCAAUCUAACGCCGACAAGUGGUAAGACUAUCCCUCGUAAGACCGACAUUCCUCAUUCACUUCGAGGUGUGGCGCUAACUAGGCAUUCAACGAAAACGGAAUUAGUGCUUAACUGAAACUCCCCGAGGAAUCAAAACCUUUAGUAAUAUCUUAUUAGUCAGAAAAUAGUAUACUUUUGGCGAAGCUAGCCUCUAGUUCUAGUUAAAGUAGUCGAUUGCCGGGCUAUCCAUAGGGAAAAGUCCUCGCCGGCGGGAAAGGAAAAAGAAGGAAUUCCCGAUCCGAGCUACUAUUGGUGAAGCAUAGUUCGUCCUUGCGCAAAUAUCAAUAAGGAAAGAAGCUUUCAUUUCAGGGACCUAGAAUAGAUUCAUAUAGAGAUCGUGAAGAUAGCACAUUAGCCUAACUAUUCGAAAUGACGUUCAAUCAAUCCAAAUCCAAAGAAUAAUAGAGGAAGGAGCGAUAAACAGAUAAGUUUAGAGAGGAAGGAGCGAUAAAUAGAUAAGUUGAGAAUGCUCUUGUUUCAUUUCAGAAUCCAACACUUGUUAACUCCUAUCUCCAGGGGCAGAGGUACCUUAGAUUAUAUGCCCCUACAUAAGGACAGGGACUUUGCUUAGGACUGCAGGAAAUAGGAUAGCUACUAGGCCAGAUACUAGAUACACACGCACUAAACAAUAUAUGGGAAAGCCUCUUAGAUAGUAUAAAGAAGGACAUCUGGCUUACAGGGCUUACCUUUUGACUUCUUCGCCGACAUAAUGUUUCGUAAAAGAGGUAGUUCAGAUCUUUUAGAUAGAGUUAGUAUCUCGGUAUGACAGAAAGAUAAGAUGGCAGAGAAUCCGAUGUGAACAAAGGGAAUGAGCUAAAAGCAGCUUUCCUUUCCCAACUCAAAAAAGAUGGUAAGAAGAGGAACGGAAAAGGGAUAUCGCAAAGGAACAGGCCAGACAUUUGCUGGGAAGGAUAUCCUUCCAAGAUAUUCCACCUAGAAAGAAAGUUCUAUAUAUAUAUAAUGCCUUACUUGAUUGGUGAGACAAGAGAGAAAGCUUACAAUACUGGAUUUGCGAGACAAGAGAAUCGGCUGGAUAAUAAUAAGUUAGAGAAGCUAGAGCAGAUGAACCAUUAAUUAGUUCAGAAAGUAGAGUGGAGUUACUAUCUUCUAAGUAUUCUAAGUUAGUUAGGGAGUCUUGAGUGGAGUCGACGAAAGAAUCAUCAUCAUAAGUUCAAAAGCAUAAGCUGGAUAAGAAGCUUUAGAAGGAGCAACUGAAUCAACAGUGCCAAAGGAAGCUGCAAGUGGUUGAGAACAAGCAACUCCCACUCGGGGUGCCGAUAUUCUAGAUUCCAGUUUCGAGUCAGCGGUUCAAUAACAUGAUGCACUUCAAGUGGUGCCCUUAAUUACUGGCGUCAGUGAGUUUGUUUUUCCUACUAUCCUGGGUGUUACCUACUUCGACCUGCCCCUAAGAAAACUAUCUAAUUAAUCUUAUGUUGCAAUAAAUAAGUGAAUCGGUGUUGCAGUAACUGAAUUAGCAGUAGAGAGUUAGUCAGUAAGAGAAGGUCAACCAUUGAAACUCUGGAUUCCAAUAGAACAAGUCUAUACCUCUGGGCUCUUUCAACAGCAUCUGAUCUUUCUUGAAGUUAUUCAUUUCAUUAGUUGACCAGAGACGAGAAAUAGGGGUUCUUCAUCCUCUAUGGUGCUAGGCUAGACUUAUGGACUUGGUUUGACUUCUUCCUUUCUUUGUUUUGCAUGCGGCGUACUUAAGGGUAGUGGUCGACCAGAUAGAGAGCUGGUUUAGGUUUACAGUUUACAGUAGCUUGUUUUAGUAACUCCGUAAGCGCAUAAUUGAUAGAUGUUGCUUCUUUGUUUCGAGGUGUGCUAGUUAGUUUAGUGAGUUUGUUUACCAAUUUCUAUAAGAGAUGGAAGAUAUAUGAAUUGAAGAUCCCUCUUGAGAUACUAAUCAAGCUUAUUAGUCGCCCCCAACACCUAGACUUUGCACUUG